rnacentral:rRNA from 1 species
UACGUAUGGGGCAAGCGUUAUCCGGAUUUAUUGGGUUUAAAGGGUGCGUAGGCGGUCGGAUAAGUUAGAGGUGAAAUCCCGAGGCUCAACUUCGGAAUUGCCUCUGAUACUGUUCGGCUAGAGAGUAGAUGCGGUAGGCGGAAUGUAUGGUGUAGCGGUGAAAUGCGUAGAGAUCAUACAGAACACCGAUUGCGAAGGCAGCUUACCAAACUAUAUCUGACGUUGAGGCACGAAAGCGUGGGGAGCAAACAGG